AUGUUGGGAAAAGAGCAUGGGCCUGCAGCAGCAACAGACAUGAACACUUACAAGUGCAUGAAGGCAGGAGUUAAAAAUUGUACCGAGAGUGGAGAAAGUCGCCCCAUCAACAAAAAUAAGGUCAACGAGCGUCUUAACACCUAUUACACAACUCUGAAAGUAGCAGAUCCACUACUUUGGAAGGACCGUGAUCUCGAUCCAGAAAUCAUGUACUCCUCAAGUGGUGGCAUGCCCCAUAGGCGACUAGCAAUAGGUGAUGGUGCUAUAAAGAAAGUCGUGGUCGUUGCAAAAUCUAGGGAGAAUGACACAAGGCCAUCAAACUCCAUAUCAUACCAUUGUUUAUUGAAGGAAAAUGCUCAACUUAAAAGGCGCUGCAAGAAUAAUUUCGUUCUGAGCAAACAUGUGCAGGGGUUUUAUGGCAAGCCGGGAUGGGAAGUACCCGAAGAUCUUCUUGCCUACCAAGAUGAGCUGAUGGAUGGCGGUGAUCUGAUGAAUGAAACACCCCAAGCCCAAGAGGAUGGUGGUACUCUAAUGACAGAUUCUUCACAUGAAGAAAGCCACAUUGAUGCUGGUACUCAAAUGGAUGAUCAUGGUUCUGCUCCAACACAUGAAAAUCAUUUAGGAAUGCCAUAG
rnacentral:rRNA from 1 species